rnacentral:rRNA from 1 species
AGCGAACGCUGGCGGCAGGCCUAACACAUGCCAGUCGAACGAACCUUUCGGGGUUAGUGGCGGACGGGUGAGUAACACGUGGGAACGUGCCUUUAGGUUCGGAAUAACUCAGGGAAACUUGUGCUAAUACCGAAUGUGCCCUUCGGGGGAAAGAUUUAUCGCCUUUAGAGCGGCCCGCGUCUGAUUAGCUAGUUGGUUGAGGUAAUGGCUCACCAAGGCGACGAUCAGUAGCUGGUCUGAGAGGAUGAUCAGCCACAUUGGGACUGAGACACGGCCCAGACUCCUACGGGAGGCAGCAGUGGGGAAUCUUGCGCAAUGGGCGAAAGCCUGACGCAGCCAUGCCGCGUGAAUGAUGAAGGUCUUAGGAUUGUAAAAUUCUUUCACCGGGGACGAUAAUGACGGUACCCGGAGAAGAAGCCCCGGCUAACUUCGUG